UAAGCCUGUGAAGGUGGCCUGUGAGGGUUGCUGGAGGUAUCAGAAGUGCGAAUGCUGACAUAAGUAACGAUAAAGCGGGUGAAAAGCCCGCUCGCCGGAAGACCAAGGGUUCCUGUCCAACGUUAAUCGGGGCAGGGUGAGUCGACCCCUAAGGCGAGGCCGAAAGGCGUAGUCGAUGGGAAACGGGUUAAUAUUCCCGUACUUGGUGUUACUGCGAAGGGGGGACGGAGAAGGCUAUGUUGGCCGGGCGACGGUUGUCCCGGUUUAAGCGUGUAGGUGUGUGUUCCAGGUAAAUCCGGUUCACUUUAACACUGAGGCGUGACGACGAGGCACUACGGUGCUGAAGCAACAAAUGCCCUGCUUCCAGGAAAAGCCUCUAAGCAUCAGGUAACAUCAAAUCGUACCCCAAACCGACACAGGUGGUCAGGUAGAGAAUACCAAGGCGCUUGAGAGAACUCGGGUGAAGGAACUAGGCAAAAUGGUGCCGUAACUUCGGGAGAAGGCACGCUGACACGUAGGUGAAGUGAUUUACUCAUGGAGCUGAAGUCAGUCGAAGAUACCAGCUGGCUGCAACUGUUUAUUAAAAACACAGCACUGUGCAAACACGAAAGUGGACGUAUACGGUGUGACGCCUGCCCGGUGCCGGAAGGUUAAUUGAUGGGGUCAGCGCAAGCGAAGCUCCUGAUCGAAGCCCCGGUAAACGGCGGCCGUAACUAUAACGGUCCUAAGGUAGCGAAAUUCCUUGUCGGGUAAGUUCCGACCUGCACGAAUGGCGUAAUGAUGGCCAGGCUGUCUCCACCCGAGACUCAGUGAAAUUGAACUCGCUGUGAAGAUGCAGUGUACCCGCGGCAAGACGGAAAGACCCCGUGAACCUUUACUAUAGCUUGACACUGAACAUUGAGCCUUGAUGUGUAGGAUAGGUGGGAGGCUUUGAAGUGUGGACGCCAGUCUGCAUGGAGCCGACCUUGAAAUACCACCCUUUAAUGUUUGAUGUUCUAACGUGGACCCGUAAUCCGGGUUGCGGACAGUGUCUGGUGGGUAGUUUGACUGGGGCGGUCUCCUCCUAAAGAGUAACGGAGGAGCACGAAGGUUGGCUAAUCCUGGUCGGACAUCAGGAGGUUAGUGCAAUGGCAUAAGCCAGCUUGACUGCGAGCGUGACGGCGCGAGCAGGUGCGAAAGCAGGUCAUAGUGAUCCGGUGGUUCUGAAUGGAAGGGCCAUCGCUCAACGGAUAAAAGGUACUCCGGGGAUAACAGGCUGAUACCGCCCAAGAGUUCAUAUCGACGGCGGUGUUUGGCACCUCGAUGUCGGCUCAUCACAUCCUGGGGCUGAAGUAGGUCCCAAGGGUAUGGCUGUUCGCCAUUUAAAGUGGUACGCGAGCUGGGUUUAGAACGUCGUGAGACAGUUCGGUCCCUAUCUGCCGUGGGCGCUGGAGAACUGAGGGGGGCUGCUCCUAGUACGAGAGGACCGGAGUGGACGCAUCACUGGUGUUCGGGUUGUCAUGCCAAUGGCACUGCCCGGUAGCUAAAUGCGGAAGAGAUAAGUGCUGAAAGCAUCUAAGCACGAAACUUGCCCCGAGAUGAGUUCUCCCUGAGACUUA
rnacentral:rRNA from 1 species